rnacentral:rRNA from 1 species
AUUGAACGCUGGCGGCAUGCCUAACACAUGCAAGUCGAACGAGUUGCGGACGGGUGAGUAAUUUCUGGGAAACUGCCUGAUGGAGGGGUAUAACUACUGGAAACGGUAGCUAAUACCGCAUACCAUCAGAUGUGCCCAGAUGGGAUUAGCUUGUUGGUGGGGUAAAGGCUCACCAAGGCGACGCUCCCUAGCUGGUCUGAGAGGCUGACCAGCCACACUGGGACUGAGACACGGUCCAGACUCCUACGGGAGGCAGCAGUGGGGAAUAUUGCACAAUGGGCGAAAGCCUGAUGCAGCAAGGCCGCGUGUAUGAAGAAGGCUUUCGGGUUGUAAAGCACUGUCAGCGGGGAGGCGUUACCCGAAGAAGAAGCACCGGCUAACUCCGUGCCAGCAGCCGCGGUAAUAC